rnacentral:rRNA from 1 species
GACGAACGCUGGCGGCGUGCUCAACACAUGCAAGUCGAACGAUGAACCCGGAGCUUGCUCCGGUGGAUUAGUGGCGAACGGGUGAGUAACACGUGAGUAACCUGCCCUUGACUCUGGGAUAACUGCGGGAAACUGUAGCUAAUACCGGAUACGACCCUCGGCGGCAUCGCCAGGGGGUGGGAAGAAUUUCGGUCAAGGAUGGACUCGCGGCCUAUCAGCUAGUUGGUGAGGUAACGGCCCACCAAGGCGACGCCGGGUAGCCGGCCUGAGAGGGUGACCGGCCACACUGGGACUGAGACACGGCCCAGACUCCUACGGGAGGCAGAAGUGGGGAAUAUUGCACAAUGGGCGCAAGCCUGAUGCAGCAACGCCGCGUGAGGGAUGACGGCCUUCGGGUUGUAAACCUCUUUUAGUAGGGAAGAAGCGAAAGUGACGGUACCUGCAGAAAAAGCACCGGCUAACUACGUGCCAGCCGCCGCAGUAAUAC